rnacentral:rRNA from 1 species
UACGAAGGGGGCUAGCGUUGCUCGGAAUCACUGGGCGUAAAGCGCACGUAGGCGGCUUCUUAAGUCAGGGGUGAAAUCCUGGAGCUCAACUCCAGAACUGCCUUUGAUACUGAGGAGCUUGAGUCCGGGAGAGGUGAGUGGAACUGCGAGUGUAGAGGUGAAAUUCGUAGAUAUUCGCAAGAACACCAGGGGCGAAGGCGGCUCACUGGCCCGGUACUGACGCUGAGGUGCGAAAGCGGGGGGAGCAAACAGG